CCACACACGCACAGUGGUAUCAGCUACACACGCACAGUGGUAUCAGCUACACAUGCACAGUGGUAUCUGGGAAUACUUUUGUGGACUCAAAGGUUUUCUACCUGAGAGGCAUAACGCAGGCCAGCUGAUUCAUCAGAAUCAGGUGAGUGUGACCUGCUGUCUUCCCUCCAGGCUGACUUGGGGACAGUGGCUAUGCUGUGGGUGGUGUUGGCCUCUGGGCAGCUACCGAAGAGGGUCAUCCCUAAGUACUCACGGGGCACCCGUUCUACACUGCCCGUGUAGACGAUUGGCUCUUUCGUCCUCAUGGUGGCUUCAUAGAGUGAGUGCCAUUCCCUAGUGUACCCAUUCGACAGGUGAGACGUCUGGGGUCAGAGAGGCGGUAACCGGCCUGGGAAUUCAGACAUGAACCUGGGUUUUGCUCUCAGCCCUGCCGUGCACUGUGCUGGAAUUCAGGCCUGAACCCUGUGACCUCCCUGCUCUAGAUCCCAAAUCUGCCCAGGUUUCCAAUCCCGAUGGGGCAGAGCGUGGUCCUGGCAGAGCCACUGGGAUGGAUCCACUGUGGAUGGGAUGGAUAGGAGGGUCCUCAGAACACCUCUGUGCCCUAAGCUGGGUCCUGAUGGUGGCUGUGGGCCCCCUGAACACACAUGGUCCCUUGUCCGGGGGAGCCUUCUGCCCUUGGGCAGUUGUGGAAAAUGAAGGACCCCUGGAGGGCUGGCUGGGGGGAGACCAUCUUCCCUUCUAUAAAGGGGUCCAGGCCCUGGAGUUCUCUCCAUGUAUUUCUUGCUCUGUCUGGUCCUCUCGAGGCCUCGCCCUCCUUUUGCCCCAAGUGUUCCCAGGAGGGACGGUCCAUCCAGGUGUUCUCCAGGACCAAGGACCCACUGUCCUUCCUCAGUGACAUGGGAAAAUGAAGCCCCCUCCUGUAGGGACAGCUCAGAAUGGUGGAGUCCAGUCCCUCCCCGAGUGAAGGUUUCCACUAGCACAACCGAUCAUUUUCAUCCUCCAAACCGAACACCCUCCUGCUCAACUGGCAUUAUUCCUAAAGUGGCUUCACUGUUCAGACUGAAGGGCCACGGGAGCCAAAGUGAUGAGCGGAGAAGAACAGAGCAGUCAGGAGAGAUCUUGAUCCCUGUAGGAAACUGGACAUCUCUGUGGUCCCUGAGCAUCCCAGGAGGCCGAUUGUACAGAGACCUCUGGUCACUGACCCCAGUCUCCCUCCACAUCCCUGGAAUAGCCCAUCAUGGGCCCUUCACCCUUGGCAGGUGGACACUAUUCAACCUGCUGGGGCAGGAUAGAAAUCAUAGAGGAUACAGAUAGUUUGCGGGCACAGGAGCGAGAGGACAUCAUUAUGAACUAUGAGAAGGGACACCUAGCCGGGCUGCCAGAGGACAUGGGGCCUGAGCCUGUUGGAAUCUACAACAACAUUGAUCACUUUGGGAUUCUGCAUGAGACAGAGCUGCCUCCUGCCACUGCUCGGGAGGCGAAGCAAAUGCGGCGGGAGAUAACACGAAAGAGCAAGUGGAUGGAAAUGCUGGGACAAUGGGAGACAUAUAAGAACAGUAAAAAGCUGAUAGAUCGAGUAUAUAAGGGCAUUCCCAUGAACAUCUGGGGCCAAGUGUGGUCAGUCCUGCUGAACAUACAGGAAGUCAAGUGGAAAAACCCCAGAACAUACAAGGUCAUGAAGGAGAAGGGCAAGAGGUCAUCUGAACACAUCCACCAGAUUGACGUGGACGUGAGCGGGACACUAAGGAAUCACAUCUUCUUCCGAUAUCGAUACGGAGCCAAACAUCGGGAACUAUUCUACAUCCUCUUGGCAUAUUCGGAGUAUAACCCGGAGGUGGGCUACUGCAGGGACCUGAGCCACAUUGCAGCCUUGUUCCUCCUUUAUCUGUCUGAGGAGGAUGCAUUCUGGGCACUGGUGCAGCUGCUGGCCAGUGAGAGGCACUCCCUGCAGGGAUUCCACAGCCCAAAUGGCGGGACAGUCCAGGGCCUCCAAGACCAUCAGGAGCAUGUGGUACCCACGUCACAACACAAGACCAUGUGGCAUCUGGACAAGGAAGGUCUAUGCGCGCAGGGUUCCUCGUUAGGCUGGCUUCUCCAGAUGUUGAAUGAUGGAAUCUCUCUUGGGCUCAUCCUGCGCCUGUGGGACGUGUAUUUGCUGGAAGGAGAACAGGUGUUGAUGCCGAUAACAAGCAUUGCCUUUAAAGUUCAGAGGAAGCACCUCAUGAAGACAUCCAGGUGUGGCCCGUGGGCACGGUUUCGGAACCAGUUCUUCCACACCUGGCAGUUGGAUGAUGACACUGUGCUCAAGCAUCUUAGGGCCUCUACGAAGAAACUAACAAGGAAGCAAGGGGACCUGCCACCCCCAGCCAAACCCGAGCAAGGGUCCUCAGCAGCCAGGCCUAUGCAGGCUAUGCAGGAAGACCCUCUGCAAGGGGGACAGGCAGACCCCUCCAGGCCCACCAGCCCGGUUCCAGUGGCCCAUUUGGUCAGCUUCCCUGCCAUGGGCACCUCGUUCUUCUACACCCUGUCCCGGUGGGGCUGUCCGGGAAGACACCUACCCUGUGGGCACUCAGGAUGUGCCCAGCCCGGCCCCAGCUCAGGGAAGACCUUCAGGACUCCUGGAGAUUCCUGCAGUGGAACUCGAUGCCCCAGCUCCCAAUGGACCUGGAUGUAGGGGGCCCUUGGUUCCCCCAUUAUGAUUUCGAACAGAGCUGCUGGGUUUGUGUCCCUUCUGAAUGUGUCCUGGACAGCCCCGGGACUGUGGGACAGGGCCAGCUCGGGAAGCCAGUGAGGACCCUGACACCAGGCCCUGCCCAGGCCCAUCAGGACUGAAAGAGGUCGGGAGACAUCCCACUGCAACAGGUCACCCUAUCUACAGACAAGAGUCUUGCACCCAAUUUCUACAAUGGUAUCAUAUCCCAGGAGGACCAGCUGGCCACCUGCUGGCAGGCGGAACACCCUGCGGAGGGGGUGAGAUUGGCUUUCACCGCACUGAGCCACAGUGUGGACAUGGACUUCCAGCCAGCCCUGCACUGCACCCAGCACUGAUUCCAACCAGGACACCUCCUUCGCAGCUAGUGACGAGAAGCAGCGCACUCCCACCUCAGGGCCUUGCCUCUGCUCCUCUACUUGGAAAGUUCUCAGUUCCCUCCAGGCUUCUAGAAGCAUCUGGGGCAGGGCUCAUGGCUGGAUAACUUCCCGAGGCUUAACAACCCAAGAAAGCUUCACAUCCUCGUUUUAUUUUUUGUUAAACUUAUGAAAAUUUAUUAAGAAAGUGUGCAGCUCGAAAGACCUUCACAGAUGGAACACACCAGCCCCCAGAUCACAAAGCCAACCAUGCCCAGCCCCUCCCAGCACCCCCAGCCGUGUGACCAGCGUUCUGAAUUCUGACGACACCGUGAGCCUGCCUUUGUACUUCACACUCAUGGAAGGAUAACAACAUUCAUGUUUUAAAAUAAAUGUUUCCUGUUGAAAUGA